rnacentral:rRNA from 1 species
AUACGUAGGUGGCAAGCGUUGUCCGGAUUUACUGGGCGUAAAGGGAGCGUAGGUGGAUAUUUAAGUGGGAUGUGAAAUACCCGGGCUUAACUUGGGUGCUGCAUUCCAAACUGGAUAUCUAGAGUGCAGGAGAGGAAAGUGGAAUUCCUAGUGUAGCGGUGAAAUGCGUAGAGAUUAGGAAGAACCCCAGUGGCGAAGGCGACUUUCUGGACUGUAACUGACACUGAGGCUCGAAAGCGUGGGGAGCAAACAGGAUUAGAUACCCUGGUAGUCCACGCCGUAAACGAUGGAUACUAGGUGUGGGGGUUUCAACACCUCCGUGCCGCCGUUAACACAAUAAGUAUCCCGCCUGGGGAGUACGGUCGCAAGAUUAAA